GGGAGCGUGGCGGAAUUGGCAUACGCAGUGGACUUAAAAUCCACCGCCGAAAGGGGUAAACAGUCCUGUGGACUGUUUACGGCGUAGCGAGCGUAAGCGAGCGAUAGCCUGUGGAUUGCGAAGCAAUACGCGCGAGUCCCGCCGCUCCUACCA
rnacentral:tRNA from 1 species